rnacentral:rRNA from 1 species
AACGAACGCUGGCGGCAUGCCUAACACAUGCAAGUCGAACGAGACCUUCGGGUCUAGUGGCGCACGGGUGCGUAACGCGUGGGAACCUGCCCUUAGGUUCGGAAUAACUCCCCGAAAGGGGUGCUAAUACCGGAUAAUGUCUUCGGACCAAAGAUUUAUCGCCAUUGGAUGGGCCCUCGUUGGAUUAGCUAGUUGGUAGGGUAAUAGCUUACCAAGGCGACGAUCCAUAGAUGGUCUGAGAGGAUGAUCAGCCACACUGGGACUGAGACACGGCCCAGAAUCUUACGGGAGGCAGCAGUGGGGGAUAUUGGACAAUGGGCGGAAGGCUGAUCCAGCAAUGCCGGGUGAGUGAUGAUGGCCGUAGGGUUGUAAAGCUCUUUUACCCGGGAUGAUAAUGACAGUACCGGGAGAAUAAGCUCCGGCUAACUCCGUG